rnacentral:tRNA from 1 species
GGGGUUGUGGCUCAGUGGUAGAGCACUUGCCUAGCAUGUAUGAGGCACUGGGUUCAAUUCUCAACACCA